UGGCCUCAUCAUGUUGAAACACCAGUUCGCAUACAAUCACCAAAAUUAAGCAACUUUAAGCCUGAUCAGUACUGAGAUGGGUGACUAUUUGGGAAUAUCUGAUA